UACAGAGGGUGCAAGCGUUGUUCGGAAUUAUUGGGCGUAAAGGGCGCGUAGGCGGUGCGGUAAGUCUGUAGUGAAAUCCCUCGGCUCAACCAAGGAAGUGCUUUCGAAACUGCUGAGCUUGAGUACUUAAGAGGAUCGCGGAAUUCCCGGUGUAGAGGUGAAAUUCGUAGAUAUCGGGAGGAACACCAGUGGCGAAGGCGGCGAUCUGGGAAGAUACUGACGCUGAGGUGCGAAAGCGUGGGGAGCAAACAGG
rnacentral:rRNA from 1 species